UCUAACGGACGUUUCUCGCCGCCGCGUGUAGUUCGCGCCAUUUCGAGCGUUCCAGCAGGUGGAAAGCGUUUUAGAGGCUUUGUAUUGUUGUUCGCACUUGAUGCUGUCGUUCUUGCAACCCGUCUGACAUUGCAACUGUCCGUAACUGGAAGCGUUUCUUCAAACCGCGAGCAGACCAGUCAGUCUCGUUUGAAAUGUCAGAGUGAAGACGCUGCCCUGGAUGUGAAGCCAAAUCGCUCUUCGCCUUCAGGAUUCUUGCCGUUUCAGUUGUUACAGCAAUACUGCCAAAAAUAAAGGCCUAAGCUUCCACAAAUUCCGUAAAGACAAGCGCCCCAGGAGCCUAUGGGUUGCGAAGAUAAACAGAGCGGGACAUAAAGGAAGCCUACCGAACAACACCGUGUAUGCGGUAAACACUUCAAGAAUGGAACAAAACCUUACAUGCACAACAUUCCUAGCAUUCUCCCUCACAAGCUACAAUCCAAACCCGUCAAGCCCCGUAGCUCACGACUGCAACCUGCAAAGGGCACCUCAGAACAGCUAAUGACUACAGAGCCUCUCGCCAGCAGUCCUGGACCCACAACAAAUGAGAAUUCGAGCUACACCACAACUUUUUGCUUCGCAGGGAUUUCUUCUGAGACUUGUGAAACUUCUGAAUGUAUAGACGUAUGCAUUGAGAAAGUAUUGUCACCACCCAUGCCCCUCUGCAAACUGAAGCAGCAACUCCAUUAGAGACAUCCAGUGAACCAUGCGUGGUCAAUAAUGACCACUCUUAUGUGGCACAAUACGAUGAAAAAGCAGCACUGACUCAGAAAAUUGCUGCUCUUGAAGUACUCAUCAAAGAGAAAUAUGAAAUAAUCGAAAACCUGAAAAAGAACUUGGUAUCAUCUGAAGCAAAAGCUGAAAGCCUAACAUCACAAGUGCAAGCAGCCUAUCAAAAGGUGAAAGAACUCUCCGUGAAAGUUAAGACCACCAAAAGUGACCUCACAUAUGACGCUCUACAAUGCAACAAAGAGAAACUGAAGUACUACACAGGAUUCUCAAGCCCUGCAUUGCUUCAGGUGUUUCAUGACUUCCUAAAGCCGGACUUUAACCACUUGCACUUCUUGCAAAUGAAGCCUGUUGAGGCCAAUGAACAACGACAGUUUUAUGCUCCGUUGAAAGACCAACUCAUAUUGGUGCUUGUCAGGCUACGCUUAGGGCUGGAUGGGACGGACCUGGCGUUCCGUUUUGGGAUAUCAAGCAGCACACUGUCAAGAAUCUGAAUAACCCGGAUAGGUUUUCUUCGAACCAGGUUGACACAGAUACCCGCAUGGCCCUCUUCCCAGCUAUGUGACAAGUACCGCCCUGAGGCCUUCAAAGAAAAGGGAUAUGAUACAAUUGACGGAAUACUUGAUUGCACAGAAAUUUUUAUUGAAACACCUUCGUCUUUUAGAGUGCAGAGCGAGACGUACUCCACCUACAAGAAGCACAACACUCUGAAGGGCCUUGUAGUGUGUGCACCAAAUGGUUUUGUGAUCUUUGUUUAAAACUUGGCACCUGGGCGUAUAUUGGCAUUUGUAACUCAUUGAAACUCAGAAAGAGUUAAUAAAAACCUGAAACCUGAAACCUA